rnacentral:rRNA from 1 species
UGGGGAAUAUUGCACAAUGGGGGAAACCCUGAUGCAGCCAUGCCGCGUGUGUGAAGAAGGCCUUCGGGUUGUAAAGCACUUUCAGCGAGGAGGAAAGGUUGGUCGCUAAUAACGGCCAACUGUGACGUUACUCGCAGAAGAAGCCCCGGCUAACUUCGUGCCACAGC